AUUGAUAGCUAGAAACCUUGUUCCCAGU
rnacentral:piRNA from 1 species